rnacentral:sRNA from 1 species
CAUGAAGGUGAAGUCUCAAACCAGAUUUGUUUCAGUCUUCUUUGGCCUUUCCCCUUUUGGAUCUCAAAGCUUCUCCUUGAUUUUCCGUAGUCUCAUUUUCAUCAGUUCUAGAGUGGUCGGGUUGGUUAGGUUCCGUGUUCUGAUUUUUUGCUUGCUAAUUUCGUUUCUACUAUGGAAGUGGUUCUGUAAGCUCAUUUUAGUUCCCAUCUCGGGCUAUCAGUUUAUUUGAAGGCAGUAGUCAAAUUUUGGGUUAUUUCCGAGGCUCAUGUCAGUAGCCUUUCUUCAUCACCAAACUGUUCAAUGGAAGUAUUAGUUGGUUGCUCGUAAGGAAGAGCUUUCAGUGUUGUUGCUUUGGAGUUCUUUAACUAUUAUUUCUUUACCUUUUCUUGCCUGGGCUUUUACGAUGUGGGCUGGAGCAAAAUCUAUUUUUUUCUUUUUAUACCUCUCAAAGAUCAUGAUCAUAUAUACUAGGAGAAGGUGUUAGAAGGAGUUAGAUUGUUUAGGUUUUGAGUUAUUUUUCUA